CUUGGGAUAGCUAGUGUCGGAGUUUCCGACGUUUUGUAUUCGGGUUGAAUACAAAGGAUAGUGGAUUGAAAUUUCCAAGUGGGAUCUUGGAGAGUGGAUGUAGGUGCAAGGUUAGCACCGAACCACUAUAAAUCCUUGUGUUUGUGGUGUGCUUUAUCGCUUCACUUUAUUUCUUUAUUAUAUUCUUGCAUUCCUGCUUUAGAUAAUUAAUAUUGAAUUAAAGUCUUUAUUUUGUUCUUCAUAAGUAAUCAGUUGGGCUUAAAAUUUUUAGAAACCCAAUUCACCCCCCC
rnacentral:lncRNA from 1 species